rnacentral:lncRNA from 1 species
CAACCAUCCUUUUCUUGGGGUUGCGCUACUGUCCAAUGAACGCUUAGUGAGGGCAGUACUGCUAACGCCUGACAACACACCUGCAUCGGUUAGAGCUUUGCUUUACCUUGGUGCAAUUUUUGGAAAACCCACAAAACCUCUCUUCCUAGCCUAAAUAUUUAAAGAUAAAGUAACCGCGUGUGUACUGUUCUCGCAGUUCCUCUACUGUUUGCUAGAGGGCAGCCGGGACGCAAUUACUUGCAAGACCAGCUUUCUCACCCCUGCCCUAAGACAAUAAAAACUCCCUUUGGAAACAUAGACUGUACCUUUAAAGGGUUCCGUAUUUGUAUAUGAGUUUUCAUCCAGUUUACAAGUCAAUCUAUAUACUAGUUCAAACACCAAACCAGCACUGCGAGGAAUUAGAUACUUGAAAGUGUAUAAGUCUUUUGAGGCGCAGAGUCUAUGUAGCCCUGGAUUGGCCUGCAAUUUAGCAUGUAGCCCGUGCUAGCCUUAAACUUGUAGCUCCCAACUGCUAAAAUUAAAGGCAUGUGCCACUUCCCGGGGCCCUUUUUUCUCCCAACUUUUAAAAUAGUUCUAUUUAUGAGCAUUUUCUUUAAAACAA